rnacentral:rRNA from 1 species
ACGUAGGGUGCGAGCGUUGUCCGGAAUUAUUGGGCGUAAAGAGCUCGUAGGCGGUCUGUCGCGUCGAAUGUGAAAACCCGGGGCUCAACUCCGGGCUUGCAUUCGAUACGGGCAGGCUAGAGUUCGGUAGGGGAGUCUGGAAUUCCUGGUGUAGCGGUGAAAUGCGCAGAUAUCAGGAGGAACACCGGUGGCGAAGGCGGGACUCUGGGCCGAUACUGACGCUGAGGAGCGAAAGCGUGGGGAGCGAACAGGA